GUGGGGAAUCUUGCGCAAUGGGCGAAAGCCUGACGCAGCCAUGCCGCGUGAAUGAUGAAGGUCUUAGGAUUGUAAAAUUCUUUCACCGGGGACGAUAAUGACGGUACCCGGAGAAGAAGCCCCGGCUAACUUCGUGCCAGCAGCCGCGGUAAUACGAAGGGGGCUAGCGUUGCUCGGAAUUACUGGGCGUAAAGGGCGCGUAGGCGGACAGUUUAGUCAGAGGUGAAAGCCCAGGGCUCAACCUUGGAAUUGCCUUUGAUACUGGCUGUCUUGAGUACGGGAGAGGUGAGUGGAACUCCGAGUGUAGAGGUGAAAUUCGUAGAUAUUCGGAAGAACACCAGUGGCGAAGGCGACUCACUGGCCCGUUACUGACGCUGAGGCGCGAAAGCCAGGGUAGCGAACGGGAUUAGAAACCCCAGUAGUCC
rnacentral:rRNA from 1 species